AUUGCUUCUCAGCCUUUUGGCUUAGAUCAAGUGUAGCAUCUGUUCUUAUCAGUUUAAAGCCUCAUAUUCCUCCAGAAAUUGCCAAAGAAGUUAUUUAUUCAUGGGAGGGGCAGGUGUUGUAUUAAACAAGUGGAACAAAA
ensembl:snRNA U2 U2 spliceosomal RNA